ACUGAAGCUCAGAGUUUGAGCGGCAGAGACAACAAGGCCCGGCUGACCCGAACCCCCAGCAGCCCGCCGUCUCCCCCGGUGCUCCCAGACGUCCCGGUGAUCACAGGAGUGGAGGAGGGCAGAGGUGCUGCUGAAGACCAGGAGGACCAGGAGGAGCUGGAGUUUCCUCACGAUCUGCUCCCCAGUUUGGAUUUCAGCAGCGAGCUGAACAUCUGGGAGUCAUCGCUGGGGCCUCUUCCAUCUCUGGACUCUCCUCAGCUGACCUUUUUAACUCCCUCGGAGGAAAAGGCUGAUCUGCUGAGGGAGGAAGAGAUCCCACCACCGGAUCAGCAGCAGAGGAGACAUCUGAAAAUUCUGAAUCUCUGAAUCUAUUAAACAGGCCGGUGGAUCUCUUAGAGCCUUUGGAAAACACAAUAGAUCUCCCACAGCAAACUGCAGCACAGAACUCAGAGCUCUUAGAAGAAGAAACAGAACAAAGCAAGGAGUCAGAACCAAUCAAAAGGGAAGUUCCUCCAGUGAAGCUUCAAGAAUCUGAAUGGAGACCGUCCGAAGCAGCAGACGAUUGGGCCAAGGUCAUAAUUCCAACUGAAACAGUGAAAAAGAUCCAAGAACCACCAGAUCAGGAAGAAGUACUGCCAGAAAAGACAUCAAAGGUUGAAGAUCAAGAAAGGAGCCUACCAGAAGAACCAGUGGAUGUCUCACCUUCUGAGCCGGUUGAAACUCCAGCUGAGGCAACUCUCGAGCUACAACACGGAGGAUCCCCCCUUGCUGAGCAGGCGGACGGAGGUCACCCUGUCCCUGCUCCUCCUGAACCUCCUACUCCAGCCCUGCCUGUCUGCCUUCCCCACCCACCUCCAAGACGCCGCUGAGUCCUUUCCUCUUCUCCCUUGUGAAGCUCUACCAACCCCACCCUCCUGCCUUCCUCCUCCUGAAACCACUCCUCCACCUUUAGCUGACCAUCCUGAAGACCUUUCCUCUUCUAGCUCCCUGCAACGUCCUUCUAAGGUAGAAAUCUUUUAAUUUUUCACUCUUUUUUCUCCUUUUUCUGCUUCCUGUUGUUCCUCACUCACAGUUUUCUGACAGACUUUAAUCUGAAUCCAUUCUGUGCUGAAGCUAAACUAGAAAGUUAGCCGAUCCCUUAUCCUCCAGCCUGACGGCUCAGAGCAAACAGGAGCAUUAACCUGACAUCUGGCACACUCUCUGACCUUGUUGAUUCUCAGAGAUUACCUUUGAAUUCAUUCAGUCAUUCUUACUGAAGAAGUUUGGUUUGUUGGGUGUGAGGUAUGAGGGCUUUGAAGACUUUAAAAAGAUGAAAAGAGGUGACUUCAAUAGACAACAUCAAGUUUCUC
rnacentral:lncRNA from 1 species